AGACAGGCAGUCCAUAUCCUCACAUGGCUGGUACAUCCCCAGGGUAACGCAGUUUAGCAAAAUCACCAUCAUGCUGACACAUUCAAACCAGGUGGAAAAGAGUCAAGGAAAACUUCUGCAAAAGUAUCACAGCCAAGUGACCCAAUUCACAGCCCAGGAAAGCACCUGGAUAGGUUUCCAUUACCUCUCCCAGGCCUUUCAGCAGCCCUCAGGGUUUCAGUAACCUGAAACUCAAGGUCCAGCCAGCCGUGGCAAGCACUCCCCAAAACCCUGCAAUUUGGGCCAGGUGCAGGAGACCCUGAAUCUUCUUUCUCAAAAACGCGAGGC